GUAAUCGUGAAGACACUUACUAUCUUCGAUGGGAGCCUAUGACACUGGGGACCGUAGUUACCUUAACACCACUUUGGCCUUAUAUAGGACGUAGUGCGGGGACUAUGAGGGAGUAAUCCCAAAAUAGUUGCUACGCGAUACCACACUCAAAAGAGGUUCUCUUGAGAAUAUUAUUAACCACCGAGUCAAUUGGGAAAUUGAUAAUAUCCGAAAGAUGGACUGAUGACUUUGGGCACCGAUUUAGAACCCUUGUUCCGCAGGUACAAUUAACCCUAUAGUACAUACCUCUGUGGGAUGGGUAGACCUUGACUUCC
rnacentral:lncRNA from 1 species